AAGACCGUGAAACCGCUCAGAGUAUAAGCCCAUGGCAGCUUGGAAGGCAUAUCGCUAGCGGGGCAUCGGUCUCCCUUCACGGGGAGUCGGGUGUUACCUUGCUUCUGUUGUGGCUCGUCAAGGUAGGGGGGUCAAGUCCACAUCCCGCCGUCGUGUGGGGAGUUUCUGGGCGUGUCGUUGCUUUGCGGUUGACUUCGGUUGGCCGUAGGGCUCUUCGCGCUUGGGGCUUCUUUGGACACGGACGUUCAUACUCAGUUGCAAGACGCGAUAACCAGCCCACCACGGCACGUUGUGAGGUCACCCACAGGCUCAACUUUUGAUUGUUGUCCUUGACGCCGAGCAAGCACAAUGCGUGUCGCAGAUGUUCCUAACCUGACAAUGCUUGUCGGACAGUGGAACGACACGUGCUCAACAGUCAGGACCGGGCGAUGACAGAGUUCUGGUCUGAUCCUCUUGUGACGAGCCGGCUUCUGGCCGAUUUCCGAUGCUCAGGUCUCCCGCAUGUGCCGCGGGAGAUCGCCUUGACGGUCUGGACCUUGACAAGUCCUCUCAGUCGGGCAACG
rnacentral:rRNA from 1 species